ACCAGCUCGAAAGCCACGAAGCUCGAUACGCACAGGAUGCACAUCGCAUCCUUACUCUCGAGCGGGCUAAGGUCUGAGUAUACUCUUCUCCCUCGAUAGGCUCUAGCUGAGCCCCGCUGUAACGGCGGAGCGAUGUACCAGAAAUGCAGGCGGGGCAAGCUCGACAUAUCCCCAUGACCCCUCUUGCUGCAGAAGCUGUAAUAGCUCCAGCAAUGCGGGAGAGGGUAGAGGGCUCGCGCCUUUGAAACGCAUCGCGGAGAAUCGGGCGCUUAGAUGGUAUGUCAUGCGACGUCGUCUCUACCGCACACAGGUCGAUCAUGGAGUAGUCUGGCGUUCCAUGGCUGCAUUCAUCCGUGUAAUCGUACCGUCGGCCGAUCGGGAAGCCAACAGAGUGCUUCACGCUCUGCUGGUGUCAGGGGCUUCAAUGGCCUCGCUGCCUCUUUCGUGCGGGGGUGUGCUAGCGCCCACGCUGGGGAGGUGAGCAUCCGCCCGUCACGUCGAAGUGGCGUGACGGUGUUGGUAUGUCGUUUUCAACAGCAUAUCCAAAGCUACGGGCCGCAUGACGCAGAGCCUCGGCUCUGGUGUGCAUGGGGAGACCUCGAUGAUGUCGCGUGCGCCUCUUUUCGCCCUUGAGUGCGAUUCGUGGCUCGUGGCUCUUUGGGAGCGCGAAACUCAAUUCAGACUACUCUCGAGCUGGU
rnacentral:RNase_P_RNA from 2 species